AUUGAACGCUGGCGGCAUGCCUUACACAUGCAAGUCGAACGGUAGAGUAGCAAUACUCGAGAGUGGCGAACGGGUGAGUAAUAUAUCGGAACGUGCCCAGUCGUGGGGGAUAACGUAGAGAAAUUUACGCUAAUACCGCAUACGAUCUAAGGAUGAAAGCGGGGGAUUCGCAAGAACCUCGCGCGAUUGGAGCGGCCGAUAUCAGAUUAGGUAGUUGGUGAGGUAAAGGCUCACCAAGCCGACGAUCUGUAGCUGGUCUGAGAGGACGACCAGCCACACUGGGACUGAGACACGGCCCAGACUCCUACGGGAGGCAGCAGUGGGGAAUUUUGGACAAUGGGCGCAAGCCUGAUCCAGCAAUGCCGCGUGCAGGAUGAAGGCCUU
rnacentral:rRNA from 1 species